GAUGCAAUCUACCCGCGGCUAGACGGAAAGACCCCAUGAACCUUUACUGCAGCUUUGCAUUGAACUGUGAACCGAUUUGUGUAGGAUAGGUGGGAGGCAGAGAAGAGGCCACGCCAGUGGCCUUGGAGCCGACCUUGAAAUACCACCCUGAUUUGUUUGCGGUUCUAACCACGGACAGUGAUCCUGUCUUGGGACCGUGCAUGGUAGGCAGUUUGACUGGGGCGGUCUCCUCCUAAAGGGUAACGGAGGAGUACGAAGGUACGCUAGGUACGGUCGGAAAUCGUGCUGAUAGUGCAAUGGCAAAAGCGUGCUUGACUGCGAGAGCAACAACUCGAGCAGAUGCGAAAGCAGGUCAUAGUGAUCCGGUGGCUCUGAAUGGAAGGGCCAUCGCUCAACGGAUAAAAGGUACUCUGGGGAUAACAGGCUGAUACCGCCCAAGAGUUCAUAUCGACGGCGGUGUUUGGCACCUCGAUGUCGGCUCAUCUCAUCCUGGGGCUGUAGUCGGUCCCAAGGGUAUGGCUGUUCGCCAUUUAAAGAGGUACGUGAGCUGGGUUUAAAACGUCGUGAGACAGUUUGGUCCCUAUCUGCCGUGGGCGUUGGAAGAUUGACGGGGGCUGCUCCUAGUACGAGAGGACCGGAGUGGACGCACCUCUGGUGUACCGGUUGUCACGCCAGUGGCAUUGCCGGGUAGCUAAGUGCGGAAGAGAUAACCGCUGAAAGCAUCUAAGCGGGAAACUUGCCUGAAGAUGAGUCUUCCCGGAGGUUGAACCUCCCUCAAGAGUCGUCCGAGACCAGGACGUCGAUAGGUCAGGUGUGUAAGCGCUGUAAGGCGUUGAGCUAACUGAUACUAAUUGCUCGUGAGGCUUGAUCCUAUAACC
rnacentral:rRNA from 1 species